rnacentral:rRNA from 1 species
AACGCGAAGAACCUUACCUGGGCUCGAAAUGUUAUGGACCGGGGUAGAAAUAUCCCUUCCCAGCAAUGGGCCGUAAUAUAGGUGCUGCAUGGCUGUCGUCAGCUCGUGUCGUGAGAUGUUGGGUUAAGUCCCGCAACGAGCGCAACCCUUAUCUUCAGUUGCUACCAUUUAGUUGAGCACUCUGACGAAACCGCCUCGGAUAACGGGGAGGAAGGUGGGGAUGACGUCAAGUCCUCAUGGCCUUUAUGUCCAGGGCUACACACGUGCUACAAUGGCCGGUACAAACCGUCGCAAACCCGUGAGGGGGAGCUAAUCGGAAAAAGCCGGCCUCAGUUCGGAUUAGAGUCUGCAACUCGACUCUAUGAAGCUGGAAUCGCUAGUAAUCGCGGAUCAGAAUGCCGCGGUGAAUACGUUCCCGGGCCUUGUA